GAUGAACGCUGGCGGCGUGCCUAAUACAUGCAAGUCGAGCGAACAGAUAAGGAGCUUGCUCCUUUGACGUUAGCGGCGGACGGGUGAGUAACACGUGGGUAACCUACCUAUAAGACUGGAAUAACUCCGGGAAACCGGGGCUAAUGCCGGAUAACAUUUAGAACCGCAUGGUUCUAAAGUGAAAGAUGGUUUUGCUAUCACUUAUAGAUGGACCCGGGCCGUAUUGGCUAGUUGGUACGGUAACGGCUUACCAAGGCAACGAUACGUAUCCGACCUGAGAGGGUGAUCGGCCACACUGGAACGGGGACACGGACAAGACUCCUACGGGAGGCAGCAGUAGGGAAUCUUCCGCAAUGGGCGAAAGCCUGACGGAGCAACGCCGCGUGAGUGAUGAAGGUCUUCGGAUCGUAAAACUCUGUUAUUAGGGAAGAACAAAUGUGUAAGUAACUGUGCACGUCUUGACGGUACCUAAUCAGAAAGCCACGGCUAACUACGUG
rnacentral:rRNA from 1 species